rnacentral:rRNA from 1 species
GAUGAACGCUGGCGGCGUGCCUAAUACAUGCAAGUCGAGCGAACAGACGAGGAGCUUGCUCCUCUGACGUUAGCGGCGGACGGGUGAGUAACACGUGGAUAACCUACCUAUAAGACUGGGAUAACUUCGGGAAACCGGAGCUAAUACCGGAUAAUAUAUUGAACCGCAUGGUUCAAUAGUGAAAGACGGUUUUGCUGUCACUUAUAGAUGGAUCCGCGCCGCAUUAGCUAGUUGGUAAGGUAACGGCCUACCAAGGCGACGAUGCGUAGCCGACCUGAGAGGGUGAUCGGCCACACUGGAACUGAGACACGGUCCAGACUCCUACGAGAGGCAGCAGUAGGGAAUCUUCCGCAAUGGGCGAAAGCCUGACGGAGCAACGCCGCGUGAGUGAUGAAGGUCUUCGGAUCGUAAAACUCUGUUAUUAGGGAAGAACAAAUGUGUAAGUAACUAUGCACGUCUUGACGGUACCUAAUCAGAAAGCCACGGCUAGCUACGUG